GACGAACCGUGCGAACGUUGUUCGGAAUCACUGGGCUUAAAGGGCGCGUAGGCGGGUUCGCAAGUCGGGGGUGAAAUCUUUCAGCUUAACUGGAAAAGUGCCUCCGAUACUGCGAGUCUCGAGGGAGGUAGGGGCAUGUGGAACUUCCGGUGGAGCGGUGAAAUGCGUAGAUAUCUGGAGGAAUACCGGUGGCGAAGGCGGCAUCCUGGACCGGCAUUGACGCUGAGGAGCGAAAGCCAGGGGAGCAAAGCGGG
rnacentral:rRNA from 1 species